rnacentral:rRNA from 1 species
UUGGAGGGCAAGUCUGGUGCCAGCAGCCGCGGUAAUUCCAGCUCCAAUAGCGUAUAUUAAAGUUGUUGCAGUUAAAAAGCUCGUAGUUGAAUUUCGGGAUUGACGUGAUGGUCAUGCCUUAAGGGGUAUGAACUGUCACUGUUGAUUUCUCACCUUCUGGAGAAACUUGAUGGUCCUUUAUUGGGUGUCUUGCGGAUCCAGGACCUUUACCUUGAAAAAAUUAGAGUGUUUAAAGCAGGCAUUUUUGCUCGAAUACAUUAGCAUGGAAUAAUAGAAUAGGACGGCAUGGUUCUAUUUUGUUGGUUUCUAGGAUCACCGUAAUGAUUAAUAGGGAUAGUUGGGGGCAUUAGUAUUCAAUUGUCAGAGGUGAAAUUCUUGGAUUUAUUGAAGACUAACUACUGCGAAAGCAUUUGCCAAGGAUGUUUUCAUUAAUCAAGAACGAAAGUUAGGGGAUCGAAGACGAUCAGAUACCGUCGUAGUCUUAACCAUAAACUAUGCCGACUAGGAAUCAGACGAUGUUAAUUUUUUAAUGACUCGUUUGGCACCUUACGGGAAACCAAAGUGUUUGGGUUC